CAAGGAGGGAGUGAUCCCUUGGGCCCUCCAAACUUUAAAGGUCUCAGAGAGGGGAAGGGACAAAGGAGCAAAGGAGGUUAAGAGUAGCCAGUUCAAUAACAAAAAUACCAUGUGGUGGUCCGAGAAGCCAAAUGAAGAAAUUUCAUAGAGAGAGUAAUGGACUAUGUCAACUGCUACUGUUAAAUAAGAUAAAGACUGAGAACGGACAAUUGUCUUUAACUAUUAGGAAGUCAUCAGUAACCUUGAGAAGGGUUAUUUUGAUAGAGCGAUGAAUGCAAAAGUUUGACUGGAAUGAGCUGGAGAGACAAAGGGAGAAGAGAACCUGAAGAUAAAUGAAGUUUGCUCAGGAUAUGGUCUAUGUUGAGCAAAAGAUAAAAGGUAGCAGCAGCCAACGACAGAAAUUGAACAAGAUCAGCCCAAAGAAAACACAAUUGCACUAAAUAUUCUUUGAAGCCCGAUGUACCACUACUCCUACAGAUAAGUAAUAAGUGAGAGCUGGGUUAUAGCAGCGCCUUAUUGUCACAUUCCCUAGGUCAAAGAUUCUUUAACUUUAAAGAUUUCUGAGCCGUUGUUAACUAUGUAACUUUAAUAGCUCUAAUAGGAUGAGAAUUUAAAAGACAUAGAUGGUCAAUGGGGCGCCUGGGUGGCGCAGUCGGUUAAGCAUCCGACUUCAGCUCAGGUCACGAUCUUGCGGUCCGUGAG